UACGUAGGGCGCAAGCGUUGUCCGGAAUUACUGGGUGUAAAGGGUUCGUAGGCGGUGCGGCAAGUCGGGAGUGAAAUCUCUGGGCUUAACCCAGAGGCUGCUUCCGAAACUGCUGUGCUUGAGUGUGGGAGAGGCGCGUGGAAUUGCAGGUGUAGCGGUGAAAUGCGUAGAUAUCUGCAGGAACACCCGUGGCGAAAGCGGCGCGCUGGACCACUACUGACGCUGAGGAACGAAAGCUAGGGGAGCAAACAGG
rnacentral:rRNA from 1 species